AGAUUGAACGCUGGCGGCGUGCCUAACACAUGCAAGUCGAGCGGUAACGCGGGAGCAAUCCUGGCGACGAGCGGCGAACGGGUGAGUAAUACUUCGGAAUCUACCCACGGGUGGGGAAUAACCAGCCGAAAGGUUGGCUAAUACCGCAUACGACCGAGAGGUGAAAGCGGGGGACCGAAAGGCCUCGCGCAGCAGGAUGAGCCGAUGUCCGAUUAGCUGGUUGGUGGGGUAAAGGCCUACCAAGGCGACGAUCGGUAGCUGGUCUGAGAGGAUGAUCAGCCACACUGGGACUGAGACACGGCCCAGACUCCUACGGGAGGCAGC
rnacentral:rRNA from 1 species